AAUUUUCGCUGAAAUUCGAGGUAGGCUAUACAAAAUAUCAACAAAUGGUGCAAUUCUAUUGGCUGAAAUUUGGGUGGGAAAAAUAAUCAAAACAAAAAUAGGGUUUAAGUUUCAGUUGAAUAUUCUAUUAAUAUAAAUCUUUGAUCUUGUCUGUUGCAACGAAUAUUUAUCAUUAACUCAAAGCACGUUAAGACAAUUUUCGUUUAAGAUUUUUUUUUUUGGUCAGUUGAAUUUUGUCUCUACAGAUAAUUUAAUUGUGUAGCAAUUCCUUCACUUGUAACGACUAAAUUCACUUGACGUAAAGGGUCUGUUUUUUUAAUUUAUUCCAAAAUAAGUUUGUUUAGUAUAUUUGCAUAAAAUAUAUUGAUGUAAAUAUUGAGAAUUUGUUACAAUAAAGUUGAUAAAUCUUUCAA